rnacentral:tRNA from 5 species
GGGCUCGUAGAUCAACGGUAGAUCGCUUGCAUGGCACGCAAGAGUCCGCAAAUUCAAAUCCCGUCGAGUCCA